rnacentral:rRNA from 1 species
AUUGAACGCUGGCGGCAUGCUUUACACAUGCAAGUCGAACGGUAACAGGUUAAGCUGACGAGUGGCGAACGGGUGAGUAAUGCAUCGGAACGUGCCCAGUCGUGGGGGAUAACGCAGCGAAAGCUGUGCUAAUACCGCAUACGAUCUAUGGAUGAAAGCGGGGGACCGUAAGGCCUCGCGCGAUUGGAGCGGCCGAUGUCAGAUUAGCUAGUUGGUGGGGUAAAGGGCCCACCAAGGCGACGAUCUGUAGCUGGUCUGAGAGGACGACCAGCCACACUGGAACUGAGACACGGUCCAGACUCCUACGGGAGGCAGCAGUGGGGAAUUUUGGACAAUGGGCGCAAGCCUGAUCCAGCCAUGCCGCGUGAGUGAA